rnacentral:lncRNA from 1 species
GUGGUUUUUUUGUUUGUUAAUUUUGUUGCUUUGUUUUACAGAUUGUGUACUUGAGGUGCAUGUGGUUGAUAUUCAAUGGAAACUGUGGUUGGAAUUGAGGAUAAUGAUGAUGGGAAGCUUGAAGACAGUGUGGUUGAUAGAAGCAGUUCUGCAGCUUUGUCUUCUUCACCCAAAAAAAUUUCUAACCCGGUUGUGUACAAACUUGUUCGG